CUGUUAUACUUUUCUUCUAUAAUAGAUGAUUAUGAUGAUGCUGCAAAUUAGCUGUCUCUUUUUCGACAUCAUCUCCAAAUGGGUAUCUAUCAUUGGUGGACUUAUUACAAUACCAGGUACAUUAUGGAUAUACUUUUUCAUUGAUUAAAUUGUCAUUUGGGGUCUAACCUUGAUUAUGAGAAUUGAGCAACGCAUGAUUUUUUCAGAUAAAUGCAUCUACAAGAGAUGAUGGGCUAAACAUUUAUGAUCAUGGUCAUCAGCUUGAGCAUGUUCAACCUAUUAUUGGUUCUUCUCCGUCCACUUCCAUACGCAUCUAGGUCAUUUCAAGUUCAUGUCGUGCAGGUAUGUCCAGG
rnacentral:lncRNA from 1 species